rnacentral:rRNA from 1 species
AGUGGGGAAUAUUGGACAAUGGGGGCAACCCUGAUCCAGCAAUGCCGCGUGUGUGAAGAAGGCCUGCGGGUUGUAAAGCACUUUUGGCAGGGAAGAAAAGCUCGGGGUUAAUAACCUCGGGAAUUGACGUCACCUGCAGAAAAAGCACCGGCUAACUCUGUGCCAGCAGCCGCGGUAAUACAGAGGGUGCAAGCGUUAAUCGGAAUUACUGGGCGUAAAGCGCGCGUAGGCGGUCAGGUCAGUCGGAUGUGAAAUCCCCGGGCUUAACCUGGGAAUUGCAGUCGAUACUGCCUGGCUAGAGUGUGGAAGAGGGAAGCGGAAUUUCCGGUGUAGCGGUGAAAUGCGUAGAUAUCGGAAGGAACACCAGUGGCGAAGGCGGCUUCCUGGUCCAACACUGACGCUGAGGCGCGAAAGCGUGGGUAGCGAA